rnacentral:rRNA from 1 species
CCUGCCGGCGACCGGCGCACGGGUGAGUAACACGUAUGCGACCUGCCCCCGCAGGGGGAUAACCGGGAGAAAUCCCGACUAAUACCGCGUAACGCCGCGGACCUGCAUGGGUCUGCGGCCAAAGGAAGCGAUUCCGGCGGGGGAUGGGCAUGCGGCGCAUUAGCUAGUCGGCGGGGUAACGGCCCACCGAGGCGACGAUGCGUAGGGGUUCUGAGAGGAAGGUCCCCCACAUUGGAACUGAGACACGGUCCAAACUCCUACGGAAGGCAGCAG